GAUAAUUAUUGGUUAAUACCAUACCAUUCAUACCAUUCCCCAAUCACAAAUUUUCCUUCUUUGUUUUCCUUUUCCAUUUUUUGUUGUUGUUGUUCUGUCUUCCUUGUUCGUUUGUUUUUAUUAGUAGGAAAGUUUAUUAGUUACUUCAUCUUUCUUUCUUUUUUUCCUUUUUUUGCAGAGUCGCUGAACUUCGAUGCGAAACUUGGGUGCACUCCAUCUGUCCUCGGUGAGGGGCUUGGCGUGGAAGAUGGUCGGAUACCAGACUCUAGUCUGACCUCGUCAUCGUUCUAUGGUUCCAGCCAUGAAGCUUACAGAGGAAGGUUGAAUGAAGUUCCUGAUCCAGGGGAACCCGGCAGUGGAUGGGUAUCUGCCGGUGCAUGGGUCGCUGCCUAUAGCGACAACAAUGAGUGGGUUAAGGUCGACCUCGGCGAGGAUACUCUAGUAACUGGUGUUAUCAUACAGGGACGGAUCAGAUACGACCAAAGGGUUACGUCAUUCCAAAUCUCCUACUCCAGGGACAAUACAAAUUGGACCUUUGCUCUGGAAGAGCAGUGCGGGGUACGAAAAACAUAUGCAGGAAAUUUUGAUGCUGCCACAUAUGUGACCAUACUGUUUCCUGAGCCAGUAACCGCACGGUACGUCAUGUUGCAUCCUGUAAUGGUUGUAAAUAUUGCGGCUAUGAGAUUCGAAGUACUUGGUAUCAACACUCGAACCAUAACGAGUUAUCAUUAAAUUGUUUCAUUUAAUAAUUUGUGUUCAUUUAUUUAUUUACUUAUUUAUUUAUUUGUCUAUUAAUCUAUCUAUAUAUGAAUUGAUUAAUUCAUUUACUUAUUGAAAUAUUUAUUGUGCUGUAGAAUUUAAAUUAAAGGUUGAGUCGAUCGAAAUUAUAAAUGAUUUGAGUAAAGCGCCAUAGUUUUGUCAUAAUAGAAAACAGAGAACACGGUUUGAAGAAGGUAGAGGAAGAAUUACAGAAAAGGGGAAACAAACUUCAGGAGUUAUAGAUGGCAACAAACAAUCUAUAAGAGUACUUGAGGCGUUCAUUUGUGUUGCUGAUGUCGCAGAUCAGUUGAUCGGUGUCUUCAUUAUCACUCUUCUGAACACCAAAAAUGAAUGUGUAUACAUAAAUAGCAAUCAGUUUGUUGGAAAAGGGUGAGGCGAGAAACGUGGUGAAGAAGUAGGUUUUUAGUCACGUUUUGAAUAGAAACUGGCUUGCACUUUAGGAGACGUUCAGAUCUUGAUAUUUGUAAUGAUUUCAUUGAGGUUCUUUUUAUUAAAAUAUAUUGUAAAUAUUUUUACAUAAAUGCCCUCUUUGUUUUUGUUUUUGUAAUGCAUUUGUCUGGUUUAAAUUCUAUAUGUUGAUGUUUUGUGUCAUUUUAAUCUUUGUAUUCCUAUCUUUUUUUUAGUAUAAAAAUGAUGUUAAAAAAAAAAAUGAUGUAAAAUUUAUUAUCUUAGGGAAUAACCUUGAUAAGCCAUUGGCCUCCGUUUUCCCCACCACAUUAUGAUUACAAUUGAAGAAGUUUCAUUUUAACAUUUAUUAUUGUAUACAUGCAUAUAUACUGUAUUUGUUUUGUUUUUUAAUCGGAUGUGGAAAUAAAACUUGAACUUGAACUUGAUAUUAACUUGAACAACGAGAAGAGCAGGUCAGUUUGUGCGAAUUCCGAUUACAAAUAACAAAUUUAUUCAUUUUUGAAGUUGCAAUCAACCAAACACAAAUUCGCAAUUAUGUGACGUAUCUUGUGAGCUCCCCUCCCAUUUGCUUUGUACGAUAAAACAACCUUAAUAGUUAUUUUCCCUAGAGAAAAUGUACAAUGGUACAUGCACCAUAUAUAAUGGUCGUUGCAAAUAUGUAUCUAUUACAUCCCUGUAUGGGGGAAAAAUAUAUAUUCCGUCAUGAAGAACGAAGAAAAUUAAAGUUCAUGAAAUUUUAUGUACAGAGCCAAUUCAUGUUGAUUGAUCGCAGCUUCAAGAACUUAUAACUUUAUUUUUGUUUGGACUUUCACUGACUUGUUUCUAUCAUAUCCUGUAGAGGUGGUAAGUUGAGC